GACCUGCGGAGGAUCAUUAGUGAAUAUAGGACGUCCAACUUAACUUGGAGUCCGAACUCUCACUUUCUAACCCUGUGCACUUGUUUGGGAUAGUAACUCUCGCAAGAGAGCGAACUCCUAUUCACUUAUAAACACAAAGUCUAUGAAUGUAUUAAAUUUUAUAACAAAAUAAAACUUUCAACAACGGAUCUCUUGGCUCUCGCAUCGAUGAAGAACGCAGCGAAAUGCGAUAAGUAAUGUGAAUUGCAGAAUUCAGUGAAUCAUCGAAUCUUUGAACGCACCUUGCGCUCCAUGGUAUUCCGUGGAGCAUGCCUGUUUGAGUGUCAUGAAUACUUCAACCCUCCUCUUUCUUAAUGAUUGAAGAGGUGUUUGGUUUCUGAGCGCUGCUGGCCCUUACGGUCUAGCUCGUUCGUAAUGCAUUAGCAUCCGCAAUCGAACUUCGGAUUGACUUGGCGUAAUAGACUAUUCGCUGAGGAAUUCUAGUCUUCGGACUAGAGCCGGGUUGGGUUAAAGGAAGCUUCUAAUCAGAAUGUCUACAUUUUAAGAUUAGAUCUCAAAUCAGGUAGGACUACCCGCUGAACUUAAGCAUAUCAAUAAGCGGAGGAA
rnacentral:rRNA from 1 species